AGAUAGGGAGGGGGAGUGGGAUAGAGGAAGUCUAGUAAUAUGUGACUAUAGGGUUUACUCUUCUUCAUGUUUCAUUAUUCAUACGUGUCAAGUGGCUAUCCACCAUCCAAUCGGCUAUGGAGGGAUGUUUCAGGCAUUCCAACCCAACAUACUCCGGUGAAUGGGUCAAAUGAGAUAGGGAGGGGAAGUGGGAUAGAGGAAGUCUAGUAAUAUGUGACUAUAGGGUUUACUCUUCUUCAUGUUUCAUUAUUCAUACGUGUCAAGUGGCUAUCCACCAUCCAAUCGGCUAUGGAGGGAUGUUUCAACAAGCGAGUAAACUGUUGCAAAACUGAGACAUUUAUGCUAAACCACGUGGGAGUAGCAAAUUUGGAAACAAAUGGGGGAGGACAUGGAAAUUUUAAAUCCACAUCAGCAGUCCAAGUGGGCCAUUGACUACCAAUGAGGAACAUCUUAUGUGGACAACUUAUUCCUUUUCAGCCCUAAAGAGGAACUCAUGCUCAAUAUAGAAGGAAAAGGAAGACCAAGAGGAGGGGACACAUUUU